GAUCAAGCGAAUAAGUGCAUGUGGUGGAUGCCUUGGCGAUUACAGGCGAAGAAGGACGUGCAAGCCUGCGAAAAGCUCUGGGGAGCUGGCAAUGAAGCUUUGAUCCAGAGAUGUCCGAAUGGGGAAACCCACUCCGCAAGGAGUAUCCCAUCCUGAAUACAUAGGGGUGAGGAAGCGAACCCGGUGAACUGAAACAUCUAAGUAGCCGGAGGAAAAGAAAUCAACCGAGAUUCCCAAAGUAGUGGCGAGCGAAAUGGGACCAGCCUGCAAGUGAUAGCGAUUGUGUUAGUGGAAGCUUCUGGAAAGUUGCGCCGUAGUGGGUGAUAGCCCCGUACGCGAAAACACGAUGGUGGUACUAAGCUUGCGACAAGUAGGGCGGGCACGAGAAACCUUGUCUGAACAUGGGGGACCAUCCUCCAAGGCUAAAUACUCGUAAUCGACCGAUAGUGAACCAGUACCGUGAGGGAAAGGCGAAAAGAACCCCGGGGGGGAGUGAAAUAGAUCCUGAAACCGCAUGCAUACAAACAGUGGGAGCGGACUUGUUCCGUGACUGCGUACCUUUUGUAUAAUGGGUCAGCGACUUACGUUCAGUAGCGAGCUUAACCGAAUAGGGGAGGCGUAGGGAAACCGAGUCUGAUAAGGGCGAUAGUUGCUGGGCGUGAACCGAAACCAAGUGAUCUAUCCAUGGCCAGGAUGAAGGUGCGGUAACACGCACUGGAGGUCCGAACCCACUAAUGUUGAAAAAUUAGGGGAUGAGCUGUGGAUAGGGGUGAAAGGCUAAACAAACUUGGAAAUAGCUGGUUCUCUCCGAAAACUAUUUAGGUAGUGCCUCACGUAUCACCUUCGGGGGUAGAGCACUGUUAUGGCUAGGGGUCAUCGCGACUUACCAAACCAUUGCAAACUCCGAAUACCGAAGAGUGCGAGCGUGGGAGACAGACAUCAGGUGCUAACGUCCGGUGUCGAGAGGGAAACAACCCAGACCGCCGAUUAAGGUCCCCAAGACAUAGUUAAGUGGGAAACGAGGUGGGAAGGCUCAGACAGCCAGGAGGUUGGCUUAGAAGCAGCCAUCCUUUAAAGAAAGCGUAAUAGCUCACUGGUCGAGUCGUCCUGCGCGGAAGAUGUAACGGGGCUCAAACUAUGCACCGAAAUCGCGGAUAUGUGCGUUCCACUUUAAUUCAUUCGAAGAAAAGCUUGGGCGACACUAACUUGCGCAGCAAGUUAUGUGGAGACCAAAGCCCGUCACUCACUGAUCGAGUCGAUUUGACGAGAUGAGGGGUGAGAUGCGAAUGAGUGAAUUAAAGGGAACGCACAUAUGGUAGGAGAGCGUUCUGUAGGCCGUUGAAGGUGUCUUGAGAAGGAUGCUGGAGGUAUCAGAAGUGCGAAUGCUGACAUGAGUAGCGAUAAAGCGGGUGAAAGGCCCGCUCGCCGAAAGCCCAAGGUUUCCCACGCAACGCUAAUCGGCGUGGGGUGAGUCGGCCCCUAAGGGUGUUGGACGUCCCGGUUCAAGCGUGUAGUCGUGCCCUGUAGGCAAAUCCGCAGGGCUUAGAUGAGGCGUGAUAACGAGUGGCCUUGUGCCGCGAAGUGAUUGAUACCAUGCUUCCAAGAAAAGCCUCUAAGCUUCAGUUACAAAGAGACCGUACCGCAAACCGACACAGGUGGGCAGGAUGAGAAAUUCUAAGGCGCUUGAGAGAACUCAGGAGAAGGAACUCGGCAAAUUAGCACCGUAACUUCGGGAGAAGGUGCGCCCUGGUAGCGUGAAAGCCCUCGCGGCUGGAGCGUGAAAGGGUUGCAGUGAAAUGGUGGCUGCGACUGUUUAAUAAAAACACAGCACUCUGCAAACACGAAAGUGGACGUAUAGGGUGUGACGCCUGCCCGGUGCCGGAAGGUUAAGUGAUGGGGUGCAAGCUCUUGAUCGAAGCCCCGGUAAACGGCGGCCGUAACUAUAACGGUCCUAAGGUAGCGAAAUUCCUUGUCGGGUAAGUUCCGACCUGCACGAAUGGCGUAACGAUGGCCACACUGUCUCCUCCUGAGACUCAGCGAAGUUGAAAUGUUUGUGAAGAUGCAAUCUCCCCGCGGCAAGACGGAAAGACCCCAUGAACCUUUACUGUAGCUUUGCAUUGGACUUUGAACCGGUCUGUGUAGGAUAGGUGGGAGGCUUUGAAGCUGGGACGCUAGUUCUGGUGGAGCCAACCUUGAAAUACCACCCUGGUUUGUUUGAGGUUCUAACCAUGGCCCGUGAAUCCGGGUCUGGGACCGUGCAUGGUUGGCAGUUUGACUGGGGCGGGCUCCUCCCAAAGUGUAACGGAGGAGUACGAAGGUACGCUAGGUACGGUCGGACAUCGUGCUAAUAGUGCAAUGGCAUAAGCGUGCUUGACUGCGAGACCCACAAGUCGAGCAGGUACGAAAAAGGUCAUAGUGAUCCGGUGGUUCUGUAUGGAAGGGCCAUCGCUCAACGGAUAAAAGGUACUCUGGGGAUAACAGGCUGAUACCGCCCAAGAGUUCAUAUCGACGGCGGUGUUUGGCACCUCGAUGUCGGCUCAUCACAUCCUGGGGCUGUAGCCGGUCCCAAGGGUAUGGCUGUUCGCCAUUUAAAGUGGUACGUGAGCUGGGUUUAAAACGUCGUGAGACAGUUUGGUCCCCUAUCUACCGUGGGCGCUGGAAAUUUGAAGGGCCUGCUCCUAGUACGAGAGGACCGGGUGGACUAACCUCUGGUUAUACCGGUUAUGACGCCAGUCGUAUCGCCGGGUAGCUAAGUUGGGAAGAGAUAAACGCUGAAAGCAUCUAAGCGUGAAACUCGCCUUAAGAUAAGAUUUCCCCGGGGACUUGAUCCCCUGAAGGUCGUCGAAGACCACGACGUUGAUAGGCUGGGUGUGGAAGCGCAGCAAUGCGUUAAGCUAACCGAUACUAAUUGCCCGUGAGGCUUGAUCCU
rnacentral:rRNA from 1 species